GCGGCGCGUGGGGCGGCGAAGUGCGGCGGCGGAGGUCCACCUGAAAUCGCGCCCGAGACGCCCGUCCCUGUCGUGGCGAGGUCCGCCAAAACCACGCCCGUCCCUCCCGUGGGGACGUCCGCCUGAGCCGUGCCCGACGCGUCCGUCCGCCUGAAGCCGCGCCCGACGCGUCCGUCUAUAGUUAUCCUCCAGCAACCCUCCGUGUCUCCUUGUCUCCCUUGGUUUUAAUUACCCGAGAAUGAAGAAGGUAUAUUUGAUGUUGUUCUUCAAGGUUCUACUCAUUCUCAUUCCAUUCCUAGCAUUAAUUUUUAACGGGGAUAAAGAAAUACAACAAACAGGAGAAUCAAACAUAUCUAUGCGAAUAGAGAACGCGAAUGCUGAUUAGGGAAGGUCAACAUGGUUUAGUUGGCAUAAGAAGCAACGAUGGACACAA
rnacentral:lncRNA from 1 species